rnacentral:rRNA from 1 species
AUUGAACGCUGGCGGCAGGCUUAACACAUGCAAGUCGAGCGGAGAUGAGGUGCUUGCACCUUAUCUUAGCGGCGGACGGGUGAGUAAUGCUUAGGAAUCUGCCUAUUAGUGGGGGACAACAUUCCGAAAGGAAUGCUAAUACCGCAUACGUCCUACGGGAGAAAGCAGGGGAUCUUCGGACCUUGCGCUAAUAGAUGAGCCUAAGUCGGAUUAGCUAGUUGGUGGGGUAAAGGCCUACCAAGGCGACGAUCUGUAGCGGGUCUGAGAGGAUGAUCCGCCACACUGGGAGUGAGACACGGCCCAGACUCCUACGGGAGGCAGCAGUGGGGAAUAUUGGACAAUGGGGGGAACCCUGAUCCAGCCAUGCCGCGUGUGUGAAGAAGGCCUUAUGGUUGUAAAGCACUUUAAGCGAGGAGGAGGCUACUGAGACUAAUACUCUUGGAUAGUGGACGUUACUCUCAGAAUAAGCACCGGCUAACUCUGUGCCAGCCGCCGCCGUAAAAC